rnacentral:rRNA from 2 species
UACGUAGGGGGCAAGCGUUGUCCGGAAUUAUUGGGCGUAAAGAGCGUGUAGGCGGAUAUUUAAGUCAGAUGUGAAAACUGGCGGCUCAACCGUGAGACUGCAUCUGAUACUGGAUAUCUUGAGGGUAAGAGAGGGCAGUGGAAUUCCUAGUGUAGCGGUGAAAUGCGUAGAUAUUAGGAGGAACACCAGUGGCGAAGGCGACUGCCUGGCUUACAACUGACGCUGAGACGCGAAAGCGUGGGGAGCAAACAGG